AUUGACAAGAGAGCCUCCUCUGUCUCCCUGGAAAGAUCUGGGGGCCCCCUGGCCCAUCUCUCCAUCCUCUUCAACAGGAGGGGCACCCAGAUAGAGAGGCAAAGAUGCACAGGCGAUGUCAAAGACAACACCAAGCUCCUUGGGUUGCCCAACAUCGGAAACACCUGUUUUAUGAACUCUGCUCUGCAGUGCCUGUUGGAACUGCCUGCAUUCUGCAGAGUCAUC